AUUGAACGCUGGCGGCAGGCCUAAUACAUGCAAGUCGAGCGAGAGGCGGACGGGUGAGGACUGUAUGGGGACUGUCCGUAAGAGGGGGAUAACUACUGGAAACGGUAGCUAAUACCGCAUACUAUCGGAUAACCCAUAUGGGAUUAGCUAGUAGGGGAGGUAAUGGCUCACCUAGGCGACGAUCCCUAGCUGGUCUGAGAGGAUGAUCAGCCACACUGGGACUGAGACACGGCCCAGACUCCUACGGAGGCAGCAGUGGGGAAUAUUGCACAAUGGGCGCAAGCCUGAUGCAGCAAUGCCGCGUGUAUGAAGAAGGCCUUAGGGUUGUAAAGUACUUUCAGUCGGGAGGCGUUACCGACAGAAGAAGCACCGGCUAACUCCGUGCCAGCCGCCGCGGUAAUAC
rnacentral:rRNA from 1 species